AACGAACGCUGGCGGCAGGCCUAACACAUGCAAGUCGAGCGAACCCUUCGGGGUUAGCGGCGGACGGGUUAGUAACGCGUGGGAAUAUACCCUUUGGUACGGAAUAGCCUCGGGAAACUGAGAGUAAUACCGUAUGUGCCCUUCGGGGGAAAGAUUAUCGCCAAAGGAUUAGCCCGCGUUGGAUUAGAUAGUUGGUGGGGUAAUGGCCUACCAAGUCUACGAUCCAUAGCUGGUUUGAGAGGAUGAUCAGCAACACUGGGACUGAGACACGGCCCAGACUCCUACGGGAGGCAGCAGUGGGGAAUCUUAGACAAUGGGCGCAAGCCUGAUCUAGCCAUGCCGCGUGAUCGAUGAAGGCCUUAGGGUUGUAAAGAUCUUUCAGUUGGGAAGAUAAUGACGGUACAACAGAAGAAGCCCGGCUAACUCCGUGCCAGCAGCCGCGGUAAUGUACAGUGU
rnacentral:rRNA from 1 species